AGCAGUCGCCGCGGUAAUACGAAGGGGGCUAGCGUUGUUCGGAUUUACUGGGCGUAAAGGGCGCGUAGGCGGACUGAUAAGUCAGGGGUGAAAUCCCAAGGCUCAACCUUGGAACUGCCUUUGAUACUGUUUGUCUUGAGUUCGAGAGAGGUAAGUGGAACUGCGAGUGUAGAGGUGAAAUUCGUAGAUAUUCGCAAGAACACCAGUGGCGAAGGCGGCUUACUGGCUCGAGACUGACGCUGAGGCGCGAAAGCGUGGGGAGCAAACAGGAUUAGAUACCCGGUAGUCCCUGUCUCUUAUACA
rnacentral:rRNA from 1 species